rnacentral:rRNA from 1 species
UGCAGUCGUACGCUUCUUUUUCCACCGGAAGCUUGCUCCACCGGAAAAAGAGGAGUGGCGAACGGGUGAGUAACACGUGGGUAACCUGCCCAUCAGAAGGGGAUAACACUUGGAAACAGGUGCUAAUACCGUAUAACAAUCGAAACCGCAUGGUUUUGAUUUGAAAGGCGCUUUCGGGUGUCGCUGAUGGAUGGACCCGCGGUGCAUUAGCUAGUUGGUGAGGUAACGGCUCACCAAGGCCACGAUGCAUAGCCGACCUGAGAGGGUGAUCGGCCACAUUGGGACUGAGACACGGCCCAAACUCCUACGGGAGGCAGCAGUAGGGAAUCUUCGGCAAUGGACGAAAGUCUGACCGAGCAACGCCGCGUGAGUGAAGAAGGUUUUCGGAUCGUAAAACUCUGUUGUUAGAGAAGAAUAAGGAUGAGAGUAACUGUUCAUCCCUUGACGGUAUCUAACCAGAAAGCCACGGCUAACUACGUGCCAGCAGCCGCGGUAAUACGUAGGUGGCAAGCGUUGUCCGGAUUUAUUGGGCGUAAAGCGAGCGCAGGCGGUUUCUUAAGUCUGAUGUGAAAGCCCCCGGCUCAACCGGGGAGGGUCAUUGGAAACUGGGAGACUUGAGUGCAGAAGAGGAGAGUGGAAUUCCAUGUGUAGCGGUGAAAUGCGUAGAUAUAUGGAGGAACACCAGUGGCGAAGGCGGCUCUCUGGUCUGUAACUGACGCUGAGGCUCGAAAGCGUGGGGAGCAAACAGGAUUAGAUACCCUGGUAGUCCACGCCGUAAACGAUGAGUGCUAAGUGUUGGAGGGUUUCCGCCCUUCAGUGCUGCAGCUAACGCAUUAAGCACUCCGCCUGGGGAGUACGACCGCAAGGUU